rnacentral:rRNA from 1 species
UACGUAGGGUGCGAGCGUUAAUCGGAAUUACUGGGCGUAAAGGGUGCGCAGGCGGCGUCGCAAGUCAGGCGUGAAAUCCCCGGGCUUAACCUGGGAACUGCACUUGAAACUACGAUGCUGGAGUAUGGCAGAGGGAGGUGGAAUUCCACGUGUAGCGGUGAAAUGCGUAGAGAUGUGGAGGAACACCGAUGGCGAAGGCAGCCUCCUGGGCCAAUACUGACGCUCAUGCACGAAAGCGUGGGGAGCAAACAGGAUUAGAUACCCUGGUAGUCCACGCCCUAAACGAUGAUGACUAGUUGUUGGAGGAGUUAAAUCCUUUAGUAACGCAGCUAACGCGAGAAGUCAUCCGCCUGGGGAGUACGGUCGCAAGAUUAAA